rnacentral:lncRNA from 1 species
AGCAGAUCCUGGUCCUCGACCCGCCCAUAGACCUCAAAUUCAAAGGCCCCUUCACAGAUGUAGUCACUACAAAUCUUAAAUUGCGAAAUCCAUCGGAUAGAAAAGUGUGUUUCAAAGUGAAGACUACCGUGCCUCACCGGUACUGUGUGAGGCCCAACAGUGGAAUUAUUGACCCAGGGUCAACUGUGACUGUUUCAGUAAUGCUACAGCCCUUUGACUAUGAUCCGAAUGAAAAGAGUAAACACAAGUUUAUGGUACAAUUUUUGCUCCACUAAACACUUCAGAUAUGGAAGCUGUGUGGAAUGAGGCAAAACCUCAUGAAUUAAUGGAUUCCAAAUGGAGAUCCCCAAUGAAAAUGAUAAAUUGAAUGACAUGGAACCCAGCAAAGCUGUCCCACUGAAUGCAUCUAAGCAAGACGGGCCCACGCCACAACCACACAGUGCUUCACUUCAUGAUACUGAAACAAGGAAACUAACAGAAGAGUGUAAAAGACUUCAGGGAGAAAUGAUGAAGCUAUCAGAAGCAAAUCAACACCUGAGAGAUGAAGGUUUAAGGCUCAGAAAGGUAGCAUAUUCGGAUAAACCUGGAUCAACCUCAACUGCAUCCUUCAGAGAUGUCACCAGUCUUCUUCCUUCACUUCUUGUUGUAAUUGCAGCCAUUUUCACUGGAUUCCUUUUC